rnacentral:misc_RNA from 1 species
UUAAGUUCAGCGGGUAUCCCUACCUGAUCCGAGGUCAAGUCAUAGAAUAGCUUGAUGGACGCCGAUCCGCCAGAGCCCCUGUGAGCGCAAUUGUGCUGCGCAAGAAGCUGGCAAAGACCGCUGCCAAUGACUUUGAGGCGAGUCCACGCGGAAACGCGGGACAGACGCCCAACACCAAGCAGAGCUUGAGGGUGUAAAUG